GACGAACGCUGGCGGCGUGCUUAACACAUGCAAGUCGAACGGAAAGGCCCUGCUUUCGGGGUACUCUAGUGGCGAACAGGGGAGUGAAACAUGGGUGUUAUGCCCUCCACUUCUUGAUAUACCUUCGGGACUGGGGCUAAUACAGGAGAUGGGCCCUUUUGCUGCUUGUGGUUGGAAAGUAUGUUCGGUGUAGGAUGAGCUCGCUGCCUAUCUACUUGGUGGUGGGGUAAUUGCCUACCAAGGCGGCGACGGGUAGCCGGCCUGGGUGGGUGGACGGCCACAUUGGGACUGAGAUACGGCCCAGACUCCUAAGGGAGGCAGCAGGGGGGAAUAUUGGAAAAUGGGGGGAAGGCUGAUGCAGCGACGGCGCGUGGGGGAUGAAGGGCUUCGGGUUGUAAACUCGUUUCGCUAGGGACGAAGCUUUUUGUGACGGUACCUAGAGAAGAAGCACCGGCUAACUACGUG
rnacentral:rRNA from 1 species